GACGAACGCUGGCGGCGUGCUUAACACAUGCAAGUCGAACGAAGAGCGACGGAAGCUUGCUUCUAUCAAUCUUAGUGGCGAACGGGUGAGUAACGCGUAAUCAACCUGCCCUUCAGAGGGGGACAACAGUUGGAAACGACUGCUAAUACCGCAUACGAUCUAAUCUCGGCAUCGAGGAUGGAUGAAAGGUGGCCUCUACAUGUAAGCUAUCACUGAAGGAGGGGAUUGCGUCUGAUUAGCUAGUUGGAGGGGUAACGGCCAACCAAGGCGAUGAUCAGUAGCCGGUCUGAGAGGAUGAACGGCCACAUUGGGACUGAGACACGGCCCAGACUCCUACGGGAGGCAGCAGUGGGGAAUCUUCCGCAAUGGACGAAAGUCUGACGGAGCAACGCCGCGUGAGGGAUGACGGCCUUCGGGUUGUAAAGCUCUGUUAAUCGGGACGAAAGGCCUUCUUGCGAAUAGUGAGAAGGAUUGACGGUACCGGAAUAGAAAGCCACGGCUAACUACGUG
rnacentral:rRNA from 1 species